AUGUUGAAGUCGAUCCUGAAAGGUGACUGGAACUCAGGCGAUGAAGAUUUUCAUGAAAUCAGCACAAAGACAACCAAAGUGAAGCAAAUGGACAGACAUCGGGACAGAAGAAAUGAGGGUGAAGACCUAUUAGAAGAGGAUCGUGACCUUCUCUCCUCAAUUGAUGAAUUAAUUGAGGAAAUUGAGUUGAAUUUGCCUGACCCAAAUAAACCCACUAGUUCAUCUGAAUCAGAGGAUGGCGACUGGGAAGCCAUCCAGGAGGCAGUUUAUGAGCAAAUCGAUCUAGAAAUGGACAUCAAGUUUCUCAUUGAGGACUAUGAAAGAGCUCAUCAGGACAUUUUAGUUGGCAGAAAUAAUAUGAGCAAAUUAUUACAAGAAAUUAAGGAAGCGAAACAGCAAGAAAGUGCUGAAUCUUCUGAUGCCCAUGAAGACAAACCUCUUGAAGUCAACGCAGAACCUCCACAAGGGAAUAUUUUAGAGGACAAAGAGCUACAAGAAUCCUUCAAAUACUCCAACAAAUCCUUUCUAGCUGAACCCCAUAUAAAGACACACAAGUCAGAGCUUCUAUCAGAAGAAAAGCUCCAAAACCUCAACCUAGAGGAAUGUUUGAACCUGCUAAAAUGGUUUGAGGCAGAGCUUCAGCAAGAGAAGAGCAAGAACAAGGCUGCCCAAGAAGAACUGGAGAAGGUAAAACUUUCAUGUGCGGAGGAGAUUCAAAAGCAUAAAACUGAGCUGGAUAAUGUCCGACAGCAACUGGAGAGUCUUCAGCGUGGCCACAAAAAGACGAUCAAGGAACACUCAGACCUUUGCCAACAAGAGCUGAAGAGGACCAAAGCUGCAUAUGAGGAACAGCUUCAGAAUCAUAAAGAUGAGCUCAAAGAUUUCAAACGCCAGUAUGAUAUUCUUCAGCAGGACCUCAAGAAAGCCCGGGAAACAAUUGAGAGGGAACAGUCCAGUGGCGAAGCUCCUCUGGAGCAGGAGCACCCAACCUGUAAAAAAGAUCUCAGACAGAAGUUUGACAGUUUCCGGGCUGACCUCAAAAAAUCCAAACUGGAUCUUCAGUCUUCAGAGUCCAGUCUUUUCAUGAGAGGCCUGGGGAGUAUGGGAAUGCUCUCAAACCAGGGGAUGCUUCACAGCUUUAAAAACGCAGAGAAGAAUGUCAGAAGCAGGGUCCUGAGUCUCCAGAGUGAGCUAGAGGAUUCAAGAAAAGAAACCCAGCAGGAGAAGAAAUUGUGUGAUCGUCUCCAGCAAGAGAAGGACAUCAUUAUGCUAGCAUACAAGGAGCAGCAAAACCAGCUGAGUUACACCAAAAGGCACUUUGAGAGCGUUCGUGUUGAGCUGGAGGAUUACAAGACAAGGAGCGAGUCAAAAACCGAAGAGAUGGAUCAUCUCAGGAAGGACCGGAACAAGGUCAAAAAAUCCCUCAACAAGGACCCUGAGAAGACUGAUGGUAAGAUCAGUGAUAGUGAACUAGAGCCUCAGAAUGACAAGAAGAAGAGGCAUAGUAAAGAUUAUAGAGCGCAGGAAGGAAACGAUGCCUCGGAGCUGCUGACGGAGAGGAAGAGACGGAAGAAGCAUCGCAAAAACAAACCAAGGACAGAGAACGAGCAGAAAGCGAGUGAUUACGAAGACCCGCAGACAUCUCAGCAGACCCUAAAGGCUAAAAAGUCUGCUUUUACUAAAAUGUGCCACUUUUUCGGAUGGAGGAAACAUAAAAAAAUGGAAGCUGAGCAGACAGGAGAAUUUGUUAUGAAAAAGACUGAAAAGAGGUUCUGGUGA
ensembl:lncRNA